UUUGGGAUCUGUUAGGUCGUUUUCUUCUUUCUUGUUGAGUAAACUUAACCCUUUGUAGAGAUAAUUUACAAAUAUAAUACUGUCUCAUCAUCAAUCCAUAAUCGAAAGCUGUGUUUUAUGUAGGAAAUUGGGAGAAGGUCCAAGAGAAACCGUUAUCUAUGGUUUAAGCUUGGAUUCAACGUCAACUUUUAUCUUUGAAGAAUCAUUCUGAGGAUCCACCUGCUGAAUCAUCUCAUAAUCAGUUUGAUUAGACACCGUUUGUUCGGAUGCCAAGGGAACAAUUCAAGAUAAGCAAGAGGGAUCUGAUUACCUCAGAGCGUCCAUUAAUCCAUUGGCUGUAAAACUUAAAAACAAUCUAACCGGUGGAAUCAAUUGAUGAAAUGGAACACUAUCUAAUUCUCUUUCCUUUGUUCUCCAAGUCACAUUGGUUAAUAAUCAAACACCAAAUAUAGCUGCAGGGACCAAUCUUACAGUGUUAAUAUCCGUACAAAAAAGCAGCGAAAUGAAUGAAUGAUAAAAUGAUAGGAACUUUAUGUUUGUGUUGUGUCAUGAAAUGUAUGUUUCAUACAAAAAUAUAGCGAGAGAAUAUAUUGGUUUCUUGUGUGUGAUUUGCUUCCUUAGAGCCCACGGCAACUGAGGAGAUCCUCUUGAACAUUUCUGUUUUCUUCGGCUAUAUAUCUUCAUGUGCCUUGUAUAUAUAAAAGGUGAUUUUCUGUUUACUAUAAAAGUAAAAAUAAAGAGGAUAAAAAAUCUCUUC